ACAAGUCUUUGAACGGACUACGUUCACUCGAUCGUUUCGACGGAUCCAUCUGCAAGAUAUAUCUAAAGCUUGCAAUGUGAUUUGUUUCGCUGGAAGGUAAUAUGGAUGAAGAACUGAGCAGCGGUUGGUCAGACAUAGGGAACAUGUUUUCACAUAUGCCCAAAUCAUGAUAAGUGAGCAACAAUGAUACCAGGUAAUGUAUGCAGGAAGAAACAUUUACAUAGCAUUGCGAGAAGAAAGUUGUAGCUACUGGAUACCAAGAAUACAUUAGAGGACUUACAUUUGUGUCAGCUAGGAUGGCGUGGUAAAUAAGAUCUCCCAUCCGAGUCAUUUUAAUUCGCGCGGUCACAAUUUUCGCGAUCGUCACCCAACCAUGACCGUAGUAUUAUAGUGUAGAAAGAAGAAGUUACAAGUGAGGAUUCCAGGCGAAACGAGAGUACGGCCUUGGUGGCAUUAUUCUCUUCGAGCAGGCGCGUCCGAAGCUAAGUUGUACUGCCAUGGUUACUUUGUAAGGUUGAAGAUUGGUUGCACCAUAUUCUGCUAAUUUCUAGGCCGGGUCCUGCUUUUGUACAUCAAGUAUUCUGCCCGGGUGCUAUUCACGUCAUCAUUAACCUUCAUUCCAUUUUUCUUCAUAUUACCUUAUGGGACGAUAUUGUUUAUGGAAUGAUCUUGACUAUGGGCGAAAUUGAUUC